AAAGAUUAAGCCAUGCAUGUCUAAGUAUAAGCAAUUUGUACUGUGAAACUGCGAAUGGCUCAUUAAAUCAGUUAUCGUUUAUUUGAUAGUACCUUACUACAUGGAUACCUGUGGUAAUUCUAGAGCUAAUACAUGCUAAAAACCUCGACUUCGGAAGGGGUGUAUUUAUUAGAUAAAAAACCAACGCCCUUCGGGGCUCCUUGGUGAAUCAUAAUAACUAAGCGAAUCGCAUGGCCUUGCGCCGGCGAUGGUUCAUUCAAAUUUCUGCCCUAUCAACUUUCGAUGGUAAGAUAGUGGCUUACCAUGGUGGCAACGGGUAACGGGGAAU
rnacentral:rRNA from 1 species